rnacentral:lncRNA from 1 species
AUUGCAAAACAUUGUGAUACAUUUCGAUAAAUUAUGAUAUAUAUAUUAUUUUAAAUUGUCAUAGAUUGCGAAAGAGGAUGGCUCAUUGUCAUUAAUUGUGAUAUAGGCUGCUUUAAUUCUUUUUGGGCAUUAAAUACCAAUAUAUUGAAAAAUUUUCAAAUUUUAUUUUGAUUUAUGAUUAUAAUAUCUUGAGUUGGUUGUGAAAUUGGAAUAGUAGG